GAUGAACGCUAGCGGCAGGCUUAAUACAUGCAAGUCGUGGGGCAGCAGUCCCGUAGCAAUACGGGAGCUGGCGACCGGCAAACGGGUGCGUAACACGUACGCAACCUUCCCGUUACUGGGGGAUAGCCCAGGGAAACUUGGAUUAAUACCCCAUAUUAUAUGGAUCAGGCAUCUGGUUCAUAUCAAAGCAUCGGCGGUAAUGGAUGGGCGUGCGGCUGAUUAGGUAGUUGGCGGGGUAACGGCCCACCAAGCCUACGAUCAGUAGCUGAUGUGAGAGCAUGAUCAGCACACGGGCACUGAGACACGGGCCCGACUCCUACGGGAGGCAGCAGUAAGGAAUAUUGGUCAAUGGACGAAAGUCUGAACCAGCCAUGCCGCGUGGAGGAUGAAGGUCCUCUGGAUUGUAAACUUCUUUUCUCUGGGGCGAAAAAAGUCUAUUCUUGGGCACUUGACAGUACCAGAGGAAUAAGCACCGGCUAACUCCGUGCCAGCCGCCGCCGUAACAC
rnacentral:rRNA from 1 species